GACGAACGCUGGCGGCGUGCUUAACACAUGCAAGUCGAACGGAGUGGCGAACGGGUGAGUAACACGUGGGUGACCUGCCCUGCACUUCGGGAUAAGCCUGGGAAACUGGGUAUAAUACAGGACAUUGUGGCGUGGGUGCGCGGCCUAUCAGCUUGUUGGUGGGGUAAUGGCCUACCAAGGCGGCGACGGGGAGCCGGCCUGAGAGGGUGGACGGCCACAGAGGGACUGCGGAAGGGGCAGGACGCAUACGGGGGGCAGCAGUGGGGAAUAUUGCACAAUGGGCGGAAGGCUGAUGGAGCGACGCCGGGUGGGGGAUGACGGCUUUCGGGUUGUAAACUCCGUUCACCAUCAAAGCGGUAGAUGGAGAAGAAGCACCGGCUAACUACGUGCCAGCAGCCGCGGUAAUAC
rnacentral:rRNA from 1 species